rnacentral:rRNA from 1 species
GAUGAACGCUGGCGGCGUGCCUAAUACAUGCAAGUCGAGCGAACAGACGAGGAGCUUGCUCCUCUGACGUUAGCGGCGGACGGGUGAGUAACACGUGGAUAACCUACCUAUAAGACUGGGAUAACUUCGGGAAACCGGGGCUAAUACCGGAUAAUAUAUUGAACCGCAUGGUUCAAUAGUGAAAGACGGUUUUGCUGUCACUUAUAGAUGGAUCCGCGCCGCAUUAGCUAGUUGGUAAGGUAACGGCUUACCAAGGCAACGAUGCGUAGCCGACCUGAGAGGGUGAUCGGCCACACUGGAACUGAGACACGGUCCAGACUCCUACGGGAGGCGGCAGUAGGGAAUCUUCCGCAAAGGGCGAAAGCCUGACGGAGCAACGCCGCGUGAGUGAUGAAGGUCUUCGGAUCGUAAAACUCUGUUAUUAGGGAAGAACAAAUGUGUAAGUAACUAUGCACGUCUUGACGGUACCUAAUCAGAAAGCCACGGCUAACUACGUG